UCAAGAUAGCAGCGCCUCCCCCAAACCACAAAUUCUUCUAAACCCUACCGUACUGAUCGAUAUGGUUGGAACCCUAACUAAUUACGUCAGGGCAACCAAUGGUGAUCGGUUGUCUACUGCAAACUCAAUGAAGCGACCUCAAAUUUAAGCAUUGCUUCAUGCCGUAAUCGAUGCACCACUUUUUGAAUCUAUGAAUAUGAAUUGAUGAGUUUGUAUGAUGUUUCAAAUGUGAAGAUAAAUGCUAUGUAUUCGGAGAUUAGAUCUGCAUAUCGGAUUUUAGCGAAUCGAUAUCAUUCUGAUGCUACCGAUUUGAAACAGGAUGAUGAUCGUUAUUUUAUUGGCUUUGCAUCUGGCCUCUGCGAAGAUUCUACCGAUUUAAACCUUUUGGCGUUGUUUAUUUGGCAGAGGACGGGUUACGGUUGGCUUCUUAAAGGUAUUAUAAACUCUAGCACUAUCACUUUCAAUUUGUGUCUUCUGAUUGUAUGAACAUCAGCAAAUUGAUGAUAUCGCUUUUAAAUUGCAAUGUUCUUUUAAGAAUUAUUAGUUGUUUAAUCUUCUGUGAUUUAUUUAUUUAUUUAUUUAUGAUGUCAUGUUAUGUGUUUUUAGGAUUUUUGGCUGAAAUGUUUUGAGUUUUCAUCUAUCAACAUUUUUUAGUUAAAGUAGCAGAUAAUUACCACACAUUGUCUUUGGUUAAACUAAUGAAGAUAGUCAACAAACACUUGACUAGAACUCUGGUCUAUCCAUUUUUCAUAGAGAUACUUGUUGUUUUUCUUGUAUAUUAUUUUAACUGACAAUUUUAGUUUUCACAUAAUUUUUUUACAUGUAAAAUAACUUCUGAGAAUUAAAUUAAUAUAAGAGUUGUGGAUUCUUAUGUUUUGUAUGUAAAGUAUAAGGUUUUUAAAUGAUGUUUAUGAAUUAGUAAUUGAUGCAAUGCCUUUAUUAUUUUAGCACACCAAUUUUAUAAAUUUAGGAUACGUAGUUGGUGGUAUAGAGAUUGGACCAGAAUGGUGUGAGGUAAACGUUCAAGUACCAAUAAAAAAGAUGAAAACUUGGUAAGACCAUAUGGUUUAUUUUCUACAAUUCAAGAUUGUAUUGGUGCAUCCAUCUCAUAGCCCUAUCCAUUCAUCUCGGUAGUCCAUGAGGAUUGAGGACGCAUGAUGACUCAAGAUUUUGUGAUUCUUAUUUCUUUAAUUGCUUUUAAUUUCUUUGUUAAAUGUAAAGACUUUAUGUUAGAUAAUGUUAUAACUUAUUUAUGGUUA